rnacentral:rRNA from 1 species
CAGCAGCCGCGGGAAUACGGAGGGUGCAAGCGUUAAUCGGAAUUACUGGGCGUAAAGCGCACGCAGGCGGUCUGACAAGUCAGAUGUGAAAUCCCCGGGCUUAACCUGGGAACUGCAUUUGAAACUGUCAGGCUGGAGUCUUGUAGAGGGGGGUGGAAUUCCAGGUGUAGCGGUGAAAUGCGUAGAGAUCUGGAGGAAUACCGGUGGCGAAGGCGGCCCCCUGGACAAAGACUGACGCUCAGGUGCGAAAGCGUGGGGAGCAAACAGGAUUAGAUACCCGUGUAGUCCCUGUCUCUUAUAA